UCUUCUCGGUUGCGGUGAGCUCGGCCAUUUUCGUCUUCAUCUCGCUACAGUGUGGUCGUUGCUUCAAGCGGAGUUUGAGGUAACGAUCUUACAAAAUGGUUAACGGACGAAUUCCAUCGGUCUUUUCAAAGACCUACGUAACACCCAGGCGUCCUUAUGAAAAAGCACGUCUAGAUCAAGAGUUAAGAAUUAUCGGUGAAUAUGGUCUUCGUAACAAACGUGAAGUAUGGAGAGUCAAGUACACUUUGGCUAAAAUUCGUAAAGCUGCUCGAGAACUUCUUACGUUGGAAGAAAAAGAUCCUAAACGUCUCUUCGAAGGUAAUGCAUUGUUGAGACGUUUGGUAAGAAUUGGUGUGUUGGAUGAGGGACACAUGAAACUUGAUUACGUUCUUGGUUUGAAAAUUGAAGAUUUCUUGGAAAGACGUCUUCAAACUCAAGUAUUUAAAUUGGGUCUUGCUAAAUCGAUUCAUCAUGCCAGAGUUUUGAUUCGUCAACGUCACAUUCGAUGUCAGGACAACAAUUUACCUGGUUGAUCACACCUGACUUGACACCAUUUAUCUUAAAACUUGACUUCAAUCGAAUGGAAUGUUAAAUGUUUGAAGCUACUUUAAUUUCAUACAGGCCACUUAAACGUUAAUUAAAUAUUAACGUUUAACGUCUGUUGUUGAUAUUGGAACAAUAAUCCGUCAUCCUUAUAUUCGGGUGCGUAAACAAGUGGUGAACAUCCCAUCGUUCAUUGUACGAUUAGAUUCGCAAAAGCACAUUGACUUCUCAUUGAAGUCACCGUUCGG